ensembl:lncRNA
ACUUUGGCCAGCAGCAGCAGUGGUUGUGUUCUAUCCAGGAGGAGGUGUAUGUACUGUCCUGCCUCGCCCCCAAGAACCCAGCAGAUGUGGUAAUCUUCGCCUCUCAUCUGGAUGCUUCAGGACUUUUACUUAUAAUUCAUUACACCAGAACAUCUUCCAAAUAUUCAAAAUCCUUUUUAUAUGAUAACAAGACUAAUAACCUAUUUAGUGGAAUGGAAAGCACAGGCACAGUACGUAAAACAUAUAAAUCUGUGUUUGUUGAAGGUGUCAAAUGCUUAGAAAUGUAUGCAGAAAAUUGCUGGUCUGCUUCAUGUGAGGGUUAUGAGGACACCUCUGAAAAGCCCCAGUUCAUCACUGGGCAAGACCAGAGUUUGUAAAUCUCACUCAUCUGGACCAUUUUAAUUUGUCAUGUACUCCUUUUGCAGAAGCACGUUGAAUUUGGCCAGAGUCAUACUCCACAGUUUUUGGUUAGCCAUGAUCUUAGUACAGAAAAGGAUGGUCGUUCUUGAGGAAAUGGAGCGUCCAGAACUGAAUGUGUGACUUUGCUCUUUGGGUGGAGAAUUAUUUGCAGGACUGUUAUCAUACAACUCGUGCUUCAGGAAAGGCAAACUGGCAGUUCUUUGGGAGCGGAUUGCACAACUGCUUUGCAGUUGAAAUACUAAGGUCUGAUCUAAAGGCCAUCUUGCUAGCUGGGCUGGCUGGAGCUAGCUGCAGCUCUGCUGGUGGAAACCCACCAUAGCUCAUACCUGAAACCCACCAAAGCCCUCACAAUUCUCCUCGGCUGCAUGGCUGGAUGGGAUUAAGUGAAACAGGCGUUAUGGAUGGAUGGGAUUACAUUUGGGAACCGGCGAAUCCAUAAGGUGCCAUAAGGCUUAGGGCCUCCCCUGGGCAGAGGCAAUCACUUUCAUAAAUCUGAUGUUUGUACCAGUCGCUUAGAGAAAGAAAGGGUGACUAAUGUGCUUUGAAUCAGGAGAUGGGGAGACAAGGCUGAGAGAUAGUAAGGAAAAACAAAAUGAUAGGAAAAUAAAAGCAACAGUACCAACAUUCUUAAAUCAGAAGCACUACUUAUACUCUUUCUUCUCAUUAUUUUUAAAUGAAGAAUGAAUAUGACAGGACUAUUCCUAUGCAGGAGUGAUACCUGAACAACAACAAAAUAUUCAGAUCUCCCUUGAUUUCAGAACAGAAGCAGAACUCUUCUGAGCUCUUACUCUAGCGCAUGUAUGGUUUUUCUUCUGCUCUGUUAGUGGGUGUGAUGGGUGCAGAGCCUGAGAGCUGCGCUUCUGUUAUAGCAGGGAAGAAGCAUUAUCUGUGCUGGGAUCAAGGUGGGGGAUAUGUUAAAGCCCAGUGGUCUCUGUGGUCUCAACCACUCAAGGAAGUUUUCCAUCGCUGUUAUACCUCUGGCUGCCUUUGCCACGGCCAUGGGACUUAGCAGGUCAUGAAGUGUUGGGUGUUGGCCACAAAAAUUACUAAUCUGACAGAGAAAAUAAUCCCAUGUAAUCACUAGGGAAAAAAAAAAAACAGUGUUUGCAUGAAUGCAGAUAUUUUGGAACAGGUUUAAAAAACAAAAGGCUGAGUUGGGUCUUAGAGGGAGCACAGCCCAGUUGUCUGCUUAUCCCGCGUGAGUCUACCAGCAGCAAGCACAUCUCUACUGAAUAAAAGCAUAUCCUGCAGUGCAGAACAAAUGCAUUGGAGGAAGCAGCGGUCACUUCAGUUUUGGAAGGAUCUACUGGCUACAGAAAGAUUCGAACGCUGUUGUUUGUGCUCCGUAUCAUUUUUCACAUGAAGGAAAUCUCCAGUGCUCUUUAUGCAGACGAGAGUGUCGUAUAAAUAAAAUAUAUGGUUAUACGGAUAUUCUAUGACCUUCUUUAGUAUUGCUGCAGAAAUAAACUGCACAAUCAAUAUAAAUAAUAUUAAGAAGUAGUCAAAGAAAAUACCAUUUCAUAAAGUUACAUUAAAGACGGGGAUUUAAAUGAGGACUUGUGAGCCCAACAAGUUGGCUGCUUUUCAGCUAUAUAAAUUAGUCUAAUAAACUGUAUCUCCC